rnacentral:rRNA from 1 species
ACGCUGGCGGCGUGCUUAACACAUGCAAGUCGAACGGUAAGGCCCUUCGGGGUACACGAGUGGCGAACGGGUGAGUAACACGUGGGUGAUCUGCCCUGCACUUCGGGAUAAGCCUGGGAAACUGGGUCUAAUACCGGAUAGGACCAUGGACUUCACGGUUUGUGGUGGAAAGCUUUUGCGGUGUGGGAUGGGCCCGCGGCCUAUCAGCUUGUUGGUGGGGUAAUGGCCUACCAAGGCGACGACGGGUAGCCGGCCUGAGAGGGUGUCCGGCCACACUGGGACUGAGAUACGGCCCAGACUCCUACGGGAGGCAGCAGUGGGGAAUAUUGCACAAUGGGCGCAAGUCUGAUGCAGCGACGCCGCGUGAGGGAUGACGGCCUUCGGGUUGUAGACCUCUUUCAAUAGGGACGAAGCGCAAGUGACGGUACCUAUAGAAGAAGCACCGGCCAACUACGUG